GGCGAACGCUGGCGGCGUGCUUAACACAUGCAAGUCGAACGGAAAGGCCCUGCUUUUGUGGGGUGCUCGAGUGGCGAACGGGUGAGUAACACGUGAGUAACCUGCCCUUGACUUUGGGAUAACUUCAGGAAACUGGGGCUAAUACCGGAUAGGAGCUCCUGCUGCAUGGUGGGGGUUGGAAAGUUUCGGCGGUUGGGGAUGGACUCGCGGCUUAUCAGCUUGUUGGUGGGGUAGUGGCUUACCAAGGCUUUGACGGGUAGCCGGCCUGAGAGGGUGACCGGCCACAUUGGGACUGAGAUACGGCCCAGACUCCUACGGGAGGCAGCAGUGGGGAAUAUUGCACAAUGGGCGGAAGCCUGAUGCAGCAACGCCGCGUGCGGGAUGACGGCCUUCGGGUUGUAAACCGCUUUCGCCUGUGUCGAAGCGUGAGUGACGGUAAUGGGUAAAGAAGCACCGGCUAACUACGUG
rnacentral:rRNA from 1 species